rnacentral:rRNA from 1 species
CGUGCAAAUCGAGUUUAGUUAAAAUAAAUCAUAGAGACAAUAAUAUGAUAGAACCAUCUUAAUAAAUAAAAUAUUUAGUAUUAGUUAUAGAACUAUAUUUAACUUUAUCUCAAUAGCGCAAAGUACUGUAAAGGAAAUUUGAAAAAUUUAGUGAAUUAGAAAAAAGAAGAAAUUAUAAUUUGUACCUUGUGUAUCAGGGUUUAGCAAAAUAUAUUUAUUAUAAUUUUAUCCCGAAGUUAGGCGAGCUAUAGAUGAAAAAAGAUGUACAUAGUAUCUUACUCUUAUAUUCAUGUAUAGUAGUUAAAUGCUAAACGAGCCUUUUUAUCUGGUUCCUUAAGAAAAGGCUUUAAGCCUAAAAUUCAAUGAAGUCAUCAAGCUAAAAAAUGCUGGCUUUAUAGUUUUAUUUAGUUUAUGAGGGAUGAGCUUCAUAAACAAACUUAAAUUGGAAUAAGAGACACUAAGUGUCUUUUAAUAAAAAAAGAAUUAAAAAUAUUCUAUUUUAAAGUGUUUGUUUUAAUUCAUAUUUUAAAUUUUUAAUAUUUAAAGCUCUUUUUCUUUUUUAUUAAGGUAUUUCUCUUAAAGAUUAAGAGAAAAGAAAUGAUGCUAAAAUUAGUAGACAUAAUUGUUUAAAAAAUAUUGCAAGAUAAUAUUAAAAUUAUGAUAUUAAUUAAUUUUAUUUAAGGAACUCGGCAAAUUUAUCUUCCGCCUGCUCCUCUCAAGCAUCGUCUUUUGAAUUAAUAAAAGAUACCGCCUGCUCAAUGCUUUUAGUAAAUAGCCGCAGUAUUUUGACUGUGCGAAGGUAGCAUAAUCAUUUGUCUUUUAAUUGAAGGCCGGAAUGAAUGGCGAGACGAGAAGAUUUCUGUCUCAAAUAAAAUAAUCGAAUUUCACUUUUUAGUGCAAAGGCUAAAAUAUUUCCAGAGGACGAUCAGACCCUGCGGAGCUUAAGUUUUUUUCUUUUUACGAAAGAAUAUUAUCAUCUAAAAAGAAAAUAAUACUUUGGUUGGGGCGACAGGAAGAAAUAAAUACCACUGCUUUUUCUUAACAAAUAUUAAUGGAAAAUUGAUCCCUAAAGAAGGAUCAUAAGACUAAGUUACCCCAGGGAUAACAGCGUUAUCUUUUUGGAGAGUUCUUAUCGAUAAAAAGGGUUGCGACCUCGAUGUUGGAUCAAGGGAUCCUCAAGGUGCAGCAGCUUUGAAGGAAAGUCUGUUCGACUUUUAAAUCCUUACGUGAUCUGAGUUCAGACCGGCGUGAGCCAGGUCGGGUUCUAUCCUUGGAAAAGAGUUUCUUUUUCUAGUACGAGAGGACCGAAAGAGAGAAAUAAUUUCUUUAAAUGAAUAAAAUUAAAUUACUAAGUUUUACUCAACCUUGUGUUUAUGGUAC